rnacentral:rRNA from 1 species
UACGGAGGGUGCAAGCGUUAUCCGGAUUCACUGGGUUUAAAGGGUGCGUAGGCGGUUUAUUAAGUCAGUGGUGAAAGCCUGUGGCUCAACCAUGGAAUUGCCAUUGAAACUGAUAAACUUGAGUAUAGUUGAAGUGGGCGGAAUACAUCAUGUAGCGGUGAAAUGCUUAGAUAUGAUGUAGAACACCAAUUGCGAAGGCAGCUCGCUAAACUAUCACUGACGCUGAGGCACGAAAGCGUGGGUAGCGAAC